UACGGAGGAUGCGAGCGUUAUCCGGAUUUAUCGGGUUUAAAGGGUGCGUAGGCGGGAUGCCAAGUCAGCGGUAAAAAUGCGGUGCUCAACGCCGUCGAGCCGUUGAAACUGGCGUUCUUGAGUGGGCGAGAAGUAUGCGGAAUGCGUGGUGUAGCGGUGAAAUGCAUAGAUAUCACGCAGAACUCCGAUUGCGAAGGCAGCAUACCGGCGCCCUACUGACGCUGAGGCACGAAAGCGUGGGUAUCGAACGGG
rnacentral:rRNA from 1 species